rnacentral:rRNA from 1 species
AUGAAGCGGACCAGGGCGCAGAACCCCAAGGCCCAGGACCCGGAGCCGCAGGACCCCGCCGCCGCCGGGAGCAACCCCAACCCGAAGCCGCAGCGCCGCGCGAAGCAGCCCCGGCAGCCCAAGGCGGCGGCGACGGCGGGCAAGAAGACGGCCGCGGCGCGCGAUGCCGCCGCGGUGGCCGCGACCGCUGCCGCUGCUGCUGCCACCUCCGUCGCCGCAGCGUCCCCUGCUGCGGAGAUGGCGCCCGUCGUCCCCGACGUGUGCGUCGCCGCCGGCGGAGGAGGAGGUGGGGAGGUGGCGUGCGGCCUGCCGGCUGAGUGGGACGAGAUGGACGGCGCGAACGGGUCGCCGUGGUGGACGUUCGGGGUGGAGGAGGAGAAGCUGCUGGGGUGGUUCCCGUUCGUGGAGGAGGACUUCCUGUCCGUCGGCGGCGUCGGCCCCGCCGCCGCCGAGCCCUCGGUCUUCGACGACGACAUCUGGCGGAUCCACCAGAUCUACGAGAUCCCCAGCUACGCCGCCAAGUGA